rnacentral:rRNA from 1 species
UACGUAGGGUGCAAGCGUUAAUCGGAAUUACUGGGCGUAAAGCGUGACGCAGGCGGUUUUGUAAGACAGAUGUGAAAUCCCCGGGCUCAACCCGGGAACUGCUUCUGAUACUGGCGGACUUGAGGCCAGUGAGGGGCACUAGGAACUGACGGUGGAGCGGUGAAAUGCGUAGAUAUCGUCAGGAAUGCCGGUGGUGAAGACGG